rnacentral:rRNA from 1 species
UUACCAGAGUACUAUGAAUAAUAUAAAAUUUAAAACUCAAAGAACUUGGCGGUGUUUUAGACCAUUUAGGGGAACCUGUCUCGUAAUCGACAAUCCGCGCUGUACCUGACCUUUUCUUGUUUUCAGUUUGUAUACCGUUGUCGUCAGGUAACUUUUUAGAGAGUAGAAGUUGGCUGUAGAAAUGUGGUAAUUUAGUACGUCAAAUCAAGGUGCAGCCAAUGAAAAGGAGAGGAUGGGUUACAAUUAUGUAGUUAUAAUAACGAAUAUCUAUAUGAAAGUAUAGGUUGUGAAGGAGGACUUAAAAGUAAACUGGAUUAUAAAAAUAGUUUGAAUAAGGCUCUGAAACGUGU